UACGGGGGGGGCAAGCGUUGUUCGGAAUUACUGGGCGUAAAGGGCUCGUAGGCGGCCAACUAAGUCAGACGUGAAAUCCCUCGGCUUAACCGGGGAACUGCGUCUGAUACUGGAUGGCUUGAAUCCGGGAGAGGGAUGCGGAAUUCCAGGUGUAGCGGUGAAAUGCGUAGAUAUCAAGUGGAACACCAGUGGCGAAGGCGAGUCCCUGGACAACUCCUGACACUGAGGCACGAAAGCUAGGGGAGCAAACAGG
rnacentral:rRNA from 1 species